rfam:Triticum aestivum genome assembly, contig: Triticum_aestivum_CS42_TGACv1_scaffold_592296_7BS
GUAGUAUUCCCUCCGUCCCAAAAUUCUUGUCUUACAUUUGUUUAGAUAACGAUGUAUCUAACACUAAAAUGUAACUAGAUACAUCCAUAUUUAGACAAAUUUAAGACAAGAAUUUUGGGACGGAGGGAGUACAAA